GACGAACGCUGGCGGCGUGCCUAAUACAUGCAAGUCGAACGCAGUGGGGACGGGUGAGUAACACGUGGGUAACCUCCCAUCAGAGGGGAUAACACUUGGAAACAGGUGCUAAACCGAUACUGAUGGAUGGACCCGCGGUGCAUUAGCUAGUUGGUGAGGUAACGGCUCACCAAGGCCACGAUGCAUAGCCGAGCUGAGAGGAUGAUCAGCCACACUGGGACUGAGACACGGCCCAGACUCCUACGGGAGGCAGCAGUAGGGAAUCUUGGGCAAUGGGCGAAAGUCUGACAGAGCAAUGCCGCGUGAGUGAAGAAGGUUUUCGGGUUGUAAAGCACUUUCGGUCGGGAGGCGGUACCUAAAGAAAAAGCAACGGCUAACUACGUGCCAGCAGCCGCGGUAAUAC
rnacentral:rRNA from 1 species